rnacentral:rRNA from 1 species
UACGUAGGGUGCAAGCGUUGUCCGGAAUUAUUGGGCGUAAAGAGCUCGUAGGCGGUCUGUUGCGUCGGCUGUGAAAACCCGGGGCUCAACUCCGGGCCUGCAGCCGAUACGGGCAGACUAGAGUUCGGCAGGGGAGACUGGAAUUCCUGGUGUAGCGGUGAAAUGCGCAGAUAUCGUGGAGAACACCCGUGGCGAAGGCGGGCUUCUGGCUAAUUACUGACGCUGAGGUGCGAAAGCUAGGGGAGCGAACGGG